AGAAGAAGUGUCAUGGUUUUGUAACUUCGCUAUUGGUAUUCCACAUCAUAACAUCAUGGACAAAAGAGAAGAACUACGUAUCCCAGAGGACCUCACGGUCAGAGAAGGAAGACACAUCACGGAAGAUACGUCAUCUGGUUGCGCGCGGUGCUUCUUCACUUUCGCUUGCUGCCGGGAGAGGAGUGGGUGUGCUUUCCAAGCCGGGCGCCUCCAUCAAUGGAAGGAGCCUCCUCCAAGACCAGAGAAUGAUGACUGGCAAGGAAUAUGGAAAGGUUUAGGAAGAAUCUUAGAACCGUGGGGACCCGCCGUGCCAUGGGAUUUCACCCCUGAACAUCUGUGGGAUCCCGAGAAGCUGAGCCAGCAUUUGAGUCAGGGGCAGUGCGGCUUAGAUAGAUCCAAGGAGGCACGACUCAUCUGGGGCUUGGCUUGUGCCUACCGCGCCCUGUAUAGUACUGUUCUGGAGAGAGACAGUUUCCGAGCAGAGGUGCAAGCCGAAGGGGGAAAUCUCCAAGUCAGACCUGAUCAGUCACAACAGACACCAGUAACAGUG
rnacentral:lncRNA from 1 species